GACGAACGCUGGCGGCGUGCUUAACACAUGCAAGUCGAACGGAAAGGCCCUGCUUUUGUGGGGUGCUCGAGUGGCGAACGCGUGAGUAACACGUGAGUAACCUGCCCUUGACUUUCGGAUAACUUCAGGAAACUGGGGCUAAUACCGUAUAGGAGCUCCUGCUGCAUGGUGGGCGUUGGAAAUUUUCGGCGGUUGGGGAUGGACUCGCGGCUUAUCAGCUUGUUGGUGGGGUAGUGGCUUACCAAGGCUUUGACGGGUAGCCGGCCUGAGAGGGUGACCGGCCACAUUGGGACUGAGAUACGGCCCAGACUGCUACGGGAGGCAGCAGUGGGAAAUAUUGCACAAUGGGCGGAAGCCUGAUGCAGCAACGCCGCGUGCGGGAUGACGGCCUUCGGGUUGUAAACCGCUUUAGCCUGUGACGAAGCGUGAGUGACGGUAAUGGGUAAAGAAGCACCGGCUAACUACGUG
rnacentral:rRNA from 1 species